AACUAUAUAAUCUAAAUAGGGUAUUAAAUUGCAAGUUUAAGGGUGAGUGAAUUAAUUUAUUCUAUAGUUU
rnacentral:tRNA from 1 species